rnacentral:rRNA from 1 species
UCCACGCUGUAAACGAUGGGCACUAGGUGUUGGCUUCGUAUUCGAGGUCGGUGCCGCAGCAAACGCAUUAAGUGCCCCGCCUGGGGAGUACGAUCGCAAGGUUGAAACUCAAAGGAAUUGACGGGGGCCCGCACAAGCGGUGGAGCAUGUGGUUUAAUUCGAUGCAACGCGAAGAACCUUACCGGGGUUUGACAUGUUUCACCUCGACAGCUUUGGGAAACCAGGUCUUCUCC